UGCCAUGCAUGUGCUGCGAUGGUGUA
rnacentral:piRNA from 1 species